CCAACUAUAAAUAGCAGCUGCAAAUGAAACUUGAAGAUCAUAGCAAGCACCAAUUCACUUAUUCAAUUCUAUUUUCUGCUUCUUUUGAUACCAACUCAACCAUGUCGGACAAGUGUGGAAACUGCGAUUGCUCUGACAAGAGCCAGUGCGUGUAAGUAAUACUUAAAAGUUUUUCGUGUUUUUUUUCUCCACAUAACCAAGAUUUAUUCUCAAUAAAUAUGAAUCCCAUCAACUCGAUAAUUGUAGGAAGAAGGGAAACGCCUAUGGUAUCGACAUCAUCGAGACAGACAUAAGGUACAUUUAAUUUCUUGCUUAACAAUUCCUUUCUUCUUGACAACUGAAACCCACAACAAGGAAAACAGAAAAGAUCACUUAAACAUUUUACUUAAAAGCAGUCUUUCACAAACUCAGCAAGUUUUGUUAUAUUAUUAUCAUGUUGGUUAUUGUGCUGCCGGGUUCUGAUAUUGCAGCUACGUCGCGAUGGAUGCUCCAGCAGAGACCGAGAACUGUGGCAAGUGCAAGUGUGGUACAAGCUGCUCUUGCACCAAUUGCACCUGUUGUACUCACUGAUUACACGCAUAUCUAUAUGUAAUAUUUAGUAUGAUGAAAUAAGUUUGUGACAUUGUGGUCUGGUCUGGUGUGUUGUGUGUUAUUGAGUUAAAUUUGAGUGUCACAUUGUGUCCCUAUCAAUGUAAGGUUCAAAGUCUUUGUGGCGUUAAUAAACUCUAUUAUUAGUUUCUAAUAUUUUCUAUUGUUUGUUUCUAUUCAU
rnacentral:lncRNA from 1 species